GGUUAAAGACCAGUGGAGCUGCUGCAUCCUGGAUGAGCUGCAGAGGUGGAAUGGUGGCAGCAGGAGACCUGCAGGAGAGAGUUACAGUAGUCCAGGCGGGAGAUGACAAGAGCCUGAAUCAGUACCUGCGCUGCCUCCUGAGUGAGAAGAGGACGUGUUCUCCUGAUGUUGUAGAGCGAGUAUCUACAGGUUCUUAACCGUCUCUUUGUGAACUUGUUUUCAUUCAUGCGUGUUCCUCUUUCCUGGAGCAUGUAAAUGUCGUGGCGGAUGUAAAUCCUGUGAUGAUUGAUAAGGUUAUUAAAAAUAUGUGUGUGUAUUCAUGUACUGCUCAUAUACAUGAAGCUCUACGGACCUACGGUGCCUGAACGCCUCAUACUCUUCCAAAGGGUUUAAUAAGUAACCCACGAGGAAGUUCACAUCAUUAUAUGUAAAACGAUCAAACGUAAAGAAGCAAAUGAUCUCGUGACGCUGACGCUUCAUUGCAGAAGAUAUCGUUCCGCGCCACAAUGGACGGAUGCACUUGUAGAAAGUAAUCACGCAAGAGGGGAAUGAAGAAAUACCACGAGUGUUUUUAUUUUUCAAAAAAGAUACACUGAGAGCAGUAACGUAUGAUUUACUUUUAUUUAUUUAUUUCGUUGAAGAAUCCGCCUUCAAUUUUGAAACACUUUGCUGCAAUGAAUGUUUUACCAACCAUCUUUAUGUUUGUUACUUUAUCCAUGUUUGUUAUAGAACCGUCUCUUUAUACGUGUUUGUUAUAGAACCGUCUCUUUAUACGUGUUUGUUAUAGAACCGUCUCUUUAUAGGUGUUUGUUAUAGAACCGUCUCUUUAUACGUGUUUGUUAUAGAACCGUCUCUUUAUACGUGUUUGUUAUAGAACCGUCUCUUUGUUCAUGUUUGUUAUAGAACCUUUUCUUUAUACGUGUUUGUUAUAGAACCUUCUCUUUGUUCAUGUUUGUUAUAGAACCUUCUCUUUAUACGUGUUUGUUAUAGAACCUUCUCUUUGUUCGUGUUUGUUAUAGAACCUUCUCUUUAUACGUGUUUGUUAUAGAACCUUCUCUUUGUU
ensembl:lncRNA